AUUUGUUAUGUUGUGUUCGAUACUGAGAGUCACACUUGGACACAUUGGCAAACCAGAACGCCUCCGCAGGAAGGAGAAGGAAGAUUAAAAAAGAGGAAGAGAAAGAAAAGAAAACUACACUAGGUUCUCAUCUUAACCUGGGAGUCACCUCUGUCUUCCUGGCAUCCGCACAAUCAGUAGGACCCAGCAAUCUCCCGCAGGACAUUUUCUAAAGUGCCCAGAGAGAAGGUCCUCCUAGAAAGCAGAAGGCUUUCCCCCACCUUCCACCAUGCCCACUGUCACGAGGAUUUGCUGGGAGCCAUUCACUUCUGUGUGGCUGUAACCUCUGGCUUUCCCAAUCAAGCAGCUAUGGUGCUCUCCUUGCCCAAAUCCAUGAAUCUGCACUCAAGUCUGGGAAGUAACUUUGGCCACAAAAGGAAUUCCAUCUUAUAGAUAGAAGAGGAGAGGUGAUGUGAGCUCCUAUAUAUUAACAUCUCUAUCUGUUCAAGAGCUUCUCCAACUACUUUUUUCUGUUAAGUAAACCUGUCUGUGAGUAAAAUAAACAAGGAGUUGAUUCAAAUUCUGCUGUGUGAGGAGAGAAUCUUCCAGUUUUUGAGGACAAGAGAAACUAAAUUUUAUGGUGAUUUACCCGUAGCAAUUGAAGAUCACCAAGAGAGAAGACUUUUAUUUUUCUGUUUUUGGUGUGUUUUAACUUGUUUUCAUUUAUACUGUUUUGAAGAUGGAUUGGGAGGAGGAGAGUGAAGAAUGAAAAGCUCUAUGUUAGAGGAAUCUAUAUGUGCAGUUUCCUUAUUAACUGUAUGUGUCAUCCUCAGAGAUGCUGCAUGACCUGGUGAAAGAACACGGGCUUUGGAGAUAGAUACUCAUAUAUUUGUACUUAUGCUUGAAUCCCAUCUCGGUUACUUUCUACCUGAGUAUAAUUUAUAGCAUGACAGUUAUUAUCAGGAGCACAAAGGAAGCACUGUUUUCUGUAAAUGAAGAUAAGAACUGUUUUGCAAUAUUAUUGUGAGAACUAAUGAAAUAAUUUUGUAAAAUGCUUAAGAUAGUACCUGUCAUAUAUUUAAUAUUUAUUUAUUAUAUUAAAUUUAUUAUUAAAUAAUAAUAAUAUUUAAUCAUGGCAGUCUGCAAUCAUGACAAAUUCUGAUAAUAAUAGCAUUUAGGAUGGGCAUGGUGGUUUAUGCCUGUAAUCCCAACACCUUGGGAGGCCAAGGAGGGAGGACUGCUUGAGGCUAGGAGUUCAAGACCAGCCUGGGCAACAUAGCAGGGCCCUGUUCCUACAAACAAACAAACAAACGAAUAAUCAAAAAACGUAGCCGGAUGUGCUGGCGUGUGCCUGUAGUCCUAGGCUGAGGCAGGAGGAUCAUUUGAGUCCAGGAGUUCGAGGCUGCAGUGAGCUACGAUCACACCACUGUACUCCAGCCUGGGUGACAGAGUGAGACUCUGUCUCUAAAAGAGAAAGAAAAAGAGAAAGACUAAUAGUUUUUGUUUGUUUGUUUGUUUGUUUGUUUUAACUGGAGUUGGAGGGCUUCUGCCAAAAUUUUCUGUUUCUAACUUUUUUUGGUUUUUUGUUUGUUUUUAUAAAAUAUAUUUUAUUUUUAAAAUAGACAAAGUCUUGUUCUGUUGCCCAUGCUGGCUUGAAAUUCCUGGGUGGGCGUGAUCCCCCUAACUUGGCCUCCCAGAGUACUGGGAUUACAGGUGUGAGCAACUGCACGUGGCCUGUUUCUGACAUUUUUAAAGUUAGUCUUAAUACUGUUUUAUGCUGGUUUUACUUUAAAUAUAUAUAUAUAGAAUAAAAGCAAUUACUUAACAAAUGUCAGUGACAUGCAAAUAUAUAAUUAAUAAAACUUCUUAUAUCUCAGUGGUUGAUGUCAAUAACCAAAUAACCAAGAAUUUGAAUAAUCUCUUCUAGGUAACUGGAAGUGACCUUCACUUACCUGUAAUUUACACAUUCUCACCAGCUCCUCUCCUACUCCCUUCAUCAUGACCACCAAGGAGAGCUAGAGGACCUUAGAGAGGAGGCUCAGAAUAGUACUGCUUUGAUUUUGGCAACAUGCAUAUUGUUUCUUCAGCUAACUCAGCAUGCUUGAGAUCAUUUUAACAGCAUAGUGUUCUCAUGUGGUUUCAGUAGAAAAAGUCCCUAUGUAAAAAUAGCACCUUCUUCCUCAGCAUGUCUGCUCCCUUUAAUGAAAAUAAGGCUUUAGCUUAGACUGAGCCAAUGCAGCUAUCAAGGCGUGAGCUAAAAUCUCAUCUGCUUCAAAUGCUGUUAGCCAAAUUCACUAACAAUGGUGCUUACAGUCAUUGCCAAUAAGAAAGACAAUGUAGUCAGAGUCAUGAACAAUACAGGAUAAUUCAUA
rnacentral:lncRNA from 1 species